rnacentral:tRNA from 1 species
GGGGAUGUGGCUCAGUGGUAGAGCUCUUGCCUUGCAUGCACAAUAUUCUGGGUUUGAUCCCCAGCAUCACAA